CCUACGGGGGGCUGCAGUAGGGAAUUUUCGGCAAUGGGGGGAACCCUGACCGAGCAACGCCGCGUGAACGAAGAAGUUAUUCGUAAUGUAAAGUUCUUUUAACAGGGAAGAAAGAGAAAUUUGACGGUACCUGAAGAAUAAGCUCCGGCUAACUACGUGCCAGCAGCCGCGGUAAUACGUAGGGAGCGAGCGUUAUCCGGAAUUAUUGGGCGUAAAGGGUGCGUAGAUGGCAUAGUAAGUCUGUUGUAAAAAUGCUGGGCUCAACCCAGUAGGGCAAAAGAUACUGCAAGGCUAGAGUAUGACAGAGGCAAGUGGAACUACAUGUGUAGCGGUAAAAUGCGUAGAUAUAUGUAAGAACACCAGUGGCGAAGGCGGCUUGCUGGGUCGAUACUGACAUUGAGGCACGAAAGCGUGGGGAGCAAACAGGAUUAGAUACCCGGGUAGUC
rnacentral:rRNA from 1 species